rnacentral:rRNA from 1 species
CAAUCGUAGCUAUACUGCAGUCGAGCGGACAGAUGGGAGCUUGCUCCCUGAUGUUAGCGGCGGACGGGUGAGUAACACGUGGGUAACCUGCCUGUAAGACUGGGAUAACUCCGGGAAACCGGGGCUAAUACCGGAUGGUUGUCUGAACCGCAUGGUUCAGACAUAAAAGGUGGCUUCGGGUACCACUUACAGAUGGACCCGCGGCGCAUUAUCUAGUUGGUGAGGUAACGGCUCACCAAGGCGACGAUGCGUAGCCGACCUGAGAGGGGGCCCGGCCCUACUGGGACUGAGCCACGGCCCACACUACUACGGGAGGCAGCAGUAGGGAAUCUUCCGCAAUGGACGAAAGUCUGACGGAGCAACGCCGCGUGAGUGAUGAAGGUUUUCGGAUCGUAAAGCUCUGUUGUUAGGGAAGAACAAGUGCCGUUCAAAUAGGGCGGCACCUUGACGGUACCUAACCAGAAAGCCACGGCUAGCUAGGGUGCCAGCAGCCGCGGUAAUACGUAGGUGGCAAGCGUUGUCCGGAAUUAUUGGGCGUAAAGGGCUCGCAGGCGGUUUCUUAAGUCUGAUGUGAAAGCCCCCGGCUCAACCGGGGAGGGUCAUUGGAAACUGGGGAACUUGAUUGCAGAAGAGGAGAGUGGCAUUCCACGUGUAGCGGUGAACUGCCUUAGAGA